GCCGGUGGCUAUAGCGAGGGGGUUCCACCUCUUCCCAUUCCGAACAGAGAAGUUAAGCCCCUCCGCGCUGAUGGUACUGCCCUUCGUGGGUGGGAGAGUAAGUCGCUGCCGGCU
rnacentral:rRNA from 1 species